rnacentral:lncRNA from 1 species
CUCCUUCUCAUUUUCUAUAAAAAAAUGUUCAUAUACACAAAGUGUGUAGGCAAAUGCUAGUAAUAAUAAUAAAAACUGGUUAAUCAGAUAAGAUCAUAAUAAUUCUCCUAAAAAUAUAGUUGAUAGUCUUAAAUAGUACUCUGUGACAUCCAUACAAGCUAUAACUCUGGUAUGACAAUAAUUUCCACCAACACAUAUGCAUGAUUGUGAACUAACAGAGUAUGGGAAGUUAUGUAGAAAAUAGGAAGAAGCAAGCAAGGGAAAGUUCCGAAAAAGCGAUUGAUCCACUUAAGAUAAGAUUGAUAAAUAGAGCAUGCGACAUGACAACACCAACCGGCAAAGUAGAACAUAUUUAUUUAAAAGAAUCGUCAGACAAAACAAAAAGCUAGAAGAAAGAUGAUCACUAGGGCCGGGAAUAGAAAAUAGUAGAGUGUGAAGG